rnacentral:sRNA from 1 species
UUAUUUGUUUCGUUAAAAAUGUAUGACUCUAUAAAUUUUAGACCGUGAGGCCAAACUUGACAUGUGAUACCUUUUCGGAAAGCCCAAAGAGAGCUCUUCAAUGAAUGAGGAAAGACAAUGGAAAUCUUCUAUUAGUUUUUUUUCUACCCGAAAUUUUGACCUUAAUGUACUUUUUCGGGCCUUUUCGUGAUCUUUGCUAUAUUACGAGGCGAAAAUUAUAUGUUCGGACAUUGUUUUUCAAUA